GGUGAUAUGGUCGAGCCAGCUAGGAAGAGGAGGAUUUCCCCUGUGUGGGAACACUCGAUGACUCCUAAUAAGGUAAGCUAAAUCUAACUCCAUUUCAAACACAUUAAGUUUGCUCAUCAAGAACUGCUCCAAGGAGUUGGAGUACAAUAACAACACCUCAUCCGUGCUAAGGCAUCACCGCGCUUUCGAUGAGAAUAAGGAGGAAACUGGAGCUUCACCCAGCCAAGUUAAGUCAUUACAAUAUUACAAUUGUACCAUCACAAUUUGUCCCUGUUCACUGUUUAUUGUGCAAAUAAAGACAGGUAACAGACACUGUAUUUAUUCUCUCUUAUCCAGCCACCAGAAAACAAGAGCUGGAUGAAGCCCUCGUCUCCAUGAUAGUGAAGGACACACAGCCCUUCAGUAUUGUCGAUGAUGUUGGAUUCAGGGCAUUUGUGUCCAAACUGGAUCCUAAUUAGGUUCUCUACCUACAAGGCAGGCUCUGAAGGCCAUGGUGGAGGCCAAGUAUGAGUCGGCUAAGAAGAAGGUCAAGGCUAAAGUAGAAAAGGUGGCUGCUGUUAGCCUUACUUCUGACAUGUGGACAUACAUCAAUGGGGAUGCCUACCUGGCUGUAACAUGCCAUUUUGUGGGUGAGAAAACCGCACUCAGUUCAGUGCUGUUAGGAGUGCAGGGAUUCCCCCAAUCACACACUGCUGAAAAUAUAGCUUGUGUGAAAGCCUCCUUGAUAGAGGAAUGGGAAUUGCUAGUUAGGUGACAUGUAUGGUCACUGAUGGUGCUCCCAAUAUGGUUGUCUGUGUGAGAGAGCUGAAGCUUCGGCACCAUAUUUGCAUUGCACACACACUGAAUCUGAAAUUGAAGAAGGCACUUGACCAGCAGCCUGUGCUCUCUGGCAUCCGGGCCAAAGCACGGAAGCUGGUUGGCUUCUUUAGAAGCAGCACCAGUGCUAAGGAGAAGCUCACACAAGUGCAACUUUAUCUGGGGAUGGGCAAACAUGAAGCUAAUGCAAGAAGUGGAGACCAGAUUGAACAGCACAUAUUUGAUGCUGCAACGUUUGGUGGAGCACAGUGCUGUAGUGGUAAAAUUAGAGUAGUGCCCAGAGGGCCUCCUUGUCCUCCACGUCAGGUCCUGCCUUGCUGGGGUUCAUGGCUCCUCUGUGCUUCUCCUCACUCUAUUCGACCUCAGUGCUGUAGUGGUAAAAUUAGAGUGCACGACCGGCGAACACAGAGCGCGCGACUACUACAUGAAACCGGUCCGUGAGUUCCUCCAGAGCCGCCAACCUCUCCUCUAUGGACAGCAACCUGGAGAGUCCCGAACGGUCAAGGGGAGCGAACCGCUCGUUGAUAUCGGCAGUUUGUUGUUGGAGUUGACGAGACAAUCCACUGAGAGCAUUCAGCAGUUUCUUCUCGUCUGUCUGCGGACUGGCCGAAAGUUGCUGACCGCGGAGAGGAGUUGAAGGCGAGUUGAACGCGAGACGUCGUCCAGCCAUUAUUCACGAACCAGCAAAAAACAAACAAAGGAACUGGAGAUAC
ensembl:lncRNA